UUUCUAUAUGGGUGAGUAAAAUCCCAGUGUAUAUAAGUACUGUUGUUAUUUAUCUGUUGAUGGAAAUAUAGACUGAUUUCAUUUCCUUGUAAUUGUGACUAGAGCUACUAUAAGUAUGGCAGAGCAAGCAUCUCCAUAGUAGGGUGUGGACGCCUUUAGGUGAAUACCUGAGUGUAUACCUGGGAUACACAGUAGUUCUGUUUUGCAGCUACACUAUAAUGGCUACAUCAGUUUACACUUCAACCCACCCUGACACGGAUUCCUUUUUUGCUUCACCCUAGCCAUCAUGUGGUGUCAUUUGUUUUCUUGAUGCUAGUCAUACUUUGAUGGAAUCUCAGAGUAAUUUUCAUUUGCAUUCUCUGGUCACUAAGGAUGUUGAAGACUUUUGAAAAUAUUCAUUGGCCAUUUGUAUUUCUUCUUUUGAGGACCCUUGGCCUUUCCCCCCAUUUUUAAUUAAAAUGUAAUUAUCAUCACUUCCCUCUUUCCUCCCCCCAACUCCUCCCAUGUCUUCUAUAAGACCCUCAAAAAUAUAUGGCCGCUUUUUCUUUUUCUUUCCCCUCUCAGCAUCAUUAGUUGCCUGGUGUUCUUUGUCUAGAAGUGUGGCUCUAGGAGAUCUCCUGUGUUAGCCUGUUUAUUGGUGUUGUCAUUGUUCAGGUCUUAUUCAGGCAGCCAUAUUGUUGAGGUAUCAAAGGUGUAGCCUUCUGCCAUUUCCAGGAGACAGUCUCACUUCAGACUUCCUAGUCAUCUGCCUCUUAACAGUCUUUCUGCUCAGCUCCUCUGCAGUGAUCUGAGCUUUAGGUACAGAAGCUGUGUGGUAGAUAUAUCCUUUGGUACUCCUGUGCCAGUUGAUCUCAGCAUUAUAACCAGUUGUAGUUUUCUGUAAUGGUCUCUGUUUGCUGCAAAGCAAAGCUUCUUUGAUGUAGGCGUGAAAGCUACACUUUAUCUAUGGGUGUAAACUUUAGAGUGCAGUUAGGAAUUAUUAGGAAUUAGCUAGGUCUAGUAAAGUAAUGGUAGUGGGUUUCUCUCUAUGUUCCAUGACCUCUCCACUAGCCCCAGGUAGGGUACUUGGCUAGGUUUCUAUUACCAGGCAUAUUUCUCUCCUUUUGAGUGGGCCUUAAGCCCAAUUAGACAGCCAGGGUUAUCACCAAGAUAUCAGUCCCACUAUUGCACCAAUAGAGAUAGCUUGCCAAGCUGGCAUGUGUUGUUUCAUUGACAGUAUAGCUGGAUAUAAUUAUUCAUUGCAUCCUUCUGUUGGCAUCUUAAAUAGUACUUACUGGCCUGUGGAAGCCUGACAGAAGCAAUCUUCUGAGUCUUGUAUCCAAAGUGUGUAGUGUCUUCAACAAGAGGGUCAUUACUUCAGUCUCUGAGAACCAACCAUGGGUAACAGCAAUAGCCUAUAUUGGUUUGGAGGUCACUUGGACUACACUAACCAACAACUCAAAUGGAGAUUUCCCAUGCCUGAUUCUGGGGUACAGCAUACAGGAAAUUGAAACAGAACCAAGAAAGGGGAAACAGAAAAAUCUGGAAACAGGUUUCUAUAUAGGGAGGGGGAGGGAAGUCAAAAGAAGAGGGGCAGAGAGAGAACAAAUACUAUUAGGGAUGUUUCAUAAAGUCUCCAGGAGUCAUAUUAUUUCCAAUUUACCUAAAAUUACAUAUAGCUUAUAUAUAAUUCCUGUGUAUGCACACACAUAAACAUCUUAAAUGAACUUAUGCUACUUGGGCUGACGAUCCAACCCACAAGAGCCAUAGAGUAUCUUAGGGAAUUUUUUUGGAUUCAGUUGUUUUCUUGUUUAGUUUUUUGAUUUCUUUGUUUAUUCGGGCUAUUCAUCCUCUGUCAGGUGUUGCUUGAUAUCCACUCAGCAAGUGUUUGCACUACGUAAAACUAGUUUGCCUAAUAUAUCUGUUUAAUAAUGAUCACCUUGGAAAGAAAUGGUUAUUUAUUUUUCAUGGUCAACUUUUGCAUCCUCAGUAGCCACCAAGCCUUCUCUCAUUCACCUUUCCUAAUUAAGCAAUCUUUAGUGUGCCUGCUGUAAUUACAUACAAAACCUAGGAUAUAAGCAAAUACCUUACACUAAAUUUGUUCCAAAGUGAAUAUUAUUUUCCUCCUGAAUACCUGUUAAGUUUACUCUGCUUAUAUACUUAGGUGAAGCCAAUCCCAAUGUUUUGAUGUUUUGUUAAUCUGAGAAGGGUUAUUAAAGUGAGCCAUGGCCCUUUUGAAAAGGGCAAAGCUGGAUAACUUCUAAAGAGGACAAAGGAUCCACAAGCUCAGAUCCAGAGUCCAAACUCUGUGACUCACUAAGGUCGGACAUUGAUAAGUUAUCUAAACUCUCUAAGCAUUUGUUUUCUUAUCUGAGCACUUUGGAACCUGCACUGUGGGGUUUUGACAGAGAUAUGUGAACCCGUGUGAGUGGGCACUCUUAGGUCUGUGUUUUAUUAGCAGUGUUUGAUGUUGUUACUCCUGCACGGAGCUCCCCAGUAAUUAUGGAACCUGCAUUUAGUCCCAGUGAACAUUACAUGGCGUUUCCACAAGCUAGGUCACAGAGAUAAUUGUAGCACAUACUUAAUACAAAUCCACCCUUGUCUCAUAUGGUUGUUAAUUCUUAGAGUAGUGAGCUUUGGUAGGAUGAGAAACUCUGCUUUGCUUUCAUGUUAAGCCAGGACUUAAUUCUCUGACCAGUGUGUAAAUUGGCUGUCCCUCGAGAGAGAGCUACUCAUCGGAUCUAUGAUCAGGCAGAGUACACUUGGUACAAAGCAUGGCUGCCUUUUGUAGAGAUCGUGAGUGAGUCACUCUCCUUUGUACAUAUGCUGACAGAUCUGCCAUAACAGGAGACAGAGUGGAAAGAAGUACGCCAAGGUAUCUGAAGAGGUGGAGGAGAACGGAGCCUAGACCAGAGCUCAUUUGUGCCGGGAGAAAGCUCAUCUCCUCAGUGAAACUCAUCUCCUGGGAGAGAUGGGUGAAUGUAUGUCCAAAGGUGUAGGCAUUGUGGUGGUAGGGAGAUCUUGAGACCCACACCUCAUAGCCCUGACCCCUCUGGCUCCUUCAGUCCUCCCAACUCUUCCACGAGAGUCUCUAAUGUUUGGCUAUGGGUGUCUUUCCAUCAACUGCUAGAUGAAGCGUCUCAGAGGACACUUAUGCUAGGCUUAGGUCUGCAAGCAAGACAGAAUCAUUAAUGGUGUCAGAGGAGGGCUCCUUCUCAUGAGAUGGAUCUCAAGUUGGGUGCUCUGCUUAUUAAGGGGCUGUAAUACGUAACAACACAGACUCAGAUGGUAGGCUGGUUUUCACAUUCAAACUUUAUUACUUUCCAUGAGAUCUUAAGCAAGUUAAACUCCUGUGCUUCUCCCUUUCAUCCAUUAAAGUGGCGGAUAUACCUAUAAAUACACCUGAUAGCACCCAUGACAUGAGACAGAGUUAAAUGGGACAGCAAAAAUUCUGUGUGGGUUCUUAUUCCACACUGUUAUCAGUUAUUUCUAUUAGAAUUUAAAACUUUCUUAUUUCUACGUAUACCCUAGUCAAGUAAACCGACAGAUGGGCAUUUUUCAUAGAUAUCCAUAUCUCGCAGCUACAUUAAGCAACGGACUUUGUGCCUUUGCCAGGAAAGCUACUGCUCAGCUAUCACACUGCCCUCCAGUUGUAUCAUUCCUUUCUGUUGGAUUUAAUGUCUACUCGCUUUUCACCACAGUGCCAUAGCUGGAGGGUAUAAGGAUGGGCCUGGAGUAAUGCAUGUGUGGAUAGCAUUUCCUUCAGCCUUGAUCAUACAGGCUGUUCUGAUGACCAGUACUAUAGACCCUAAGAUACCUUUGCUAAAAAAAAAACACUAGCUAGCCAUAGUUUGUUCUUCAGCACACCAGAGGUACGGUGACUUAGUUAGAAUUGUGCUUGAGCUGAUGUAGAUAAUUUUAUUAAUCUAUGUACAGACUUGAAGAUGACAUGCUAAUUAUAUUCUCCGUUAUACCCUGCUAGAAGGCAUUGACAAAGCUGUUCUCCUGCUGUCCUGACCUGUCCCAAAAUAUUGUUGUUAAUAGUUUUCUUUUUGCUAAAACUUGGUUCUAAAUUAUACACAGACCAAAAUUCUGACACGUUUAAGUUACUAAUAUUUCUUAUAUCAUUUUCUACUCGCUAUUGAAUGGACGAGACAAUUGUUACACAUUUGCUAGUGCAAAUUGUUACGCAUUUGCUGUUGAUGUUCUGUAUAAGUUAGCAUUGCUGCUUAGCAAUGUAAUUUCCCCCUAAGUCUUCUCUACCCAAAAUAAAUUGGUAUCACAUCCAUCCCAGAAAUAAAUAAGGAGUCUCUAAGCCCUGCCAUAAAAAAAAAAAUCUAGAACAAAAUAAAUGGUCUCAAUUAUACUAGUAUCUUUUGUCUGCACGGUUAGUUUUCCAAGAUACAAAGUCCUUUCAGGCCAUUGGGACAUUAGCACAACUGGUCAGCUCACGUUCAAACUGUUAAUGUCCCUUUGCCAUUCAGAUAGUGGUUCUUCUAUUUUGUUAGUUCUCUAGCAGGAAAACAGAUUAUUAGUUUUUUUUUUCUUAGAGAAUGUCAAUUUCUAUAAACUCCAUGGUCAGUUUGAAACAAUUUUUCACUUUUAACUUUGUUUCGAUUGUUGCAGUAGGAGAGAAUUUUGCUUGGAUCGAGUUGGUUUUCUGUCUUUGGUAUAUUCAUAAAUAGUGAAUGUUAAACAGUACCUAAGCCAGAAGGCACUAUAGAGCCCUGUGUACCUGCACACAUUGUCACCGUCACCUUAUUAAACAGGACACUGCCCUGUCUGUGAAAGCAAAUAGAAUGGUUCCACAGACAAUAUCCUUUAUUUCCACCUUUUCUGUCUUUCCAGUCUUUCUUGUCUGACUCUGUACUGUAAGAGAUAAGGCCGGGCUGCUAAAAAUUCACUCAUACCCUAGGUACAGGAGGCUGGUAAAAACAUUCACUCUGUCUUACAGUAAGUAAAUUCUCAGCAAUUCUUUGGUGAAAGGGUGGGUGGAUUAUUUGUGUGUUAGGUAUGGGUAUAAAUGAGUGAAUGAAAAGAGAAGUGGGCAGUGUACUGGCUGGGUUUCUGUCAUCAUUGCACAGGCUAGAGUCAUCACAGGAAGGAGCCUCGGUUGAGGAAAUGCCUCCAUGAGAUCCAGCUGUAAGGCAUUUUCCCAAUAGUGAUCAAUGGGGAUAGGCCCAGCCCAUGUUGGGUUCUGGGUUCUAUUAGAAGGCUAAGCAAAUCAUGAGAAGCAAGCCAGUAAGCAGCACUUCUCUGUGGCCUCUGCAUCAGCUCCUGCCUCCAGGUUCCUGCCCUGCUUGAGUUCCUGUCCUAACUUCCUCCUAUGAUGGACUAGGAUCUGGAAAUAUAAGCCGAAUAAACCCUUUCCUCCCCGACUUGGUUUUUGGUCAUGAUGCCUCAUCACAGCAAUAGAAACCCUAAUAGGCAGUGUGGAAAGCUAAAAUAUGGAAAUAAUUUGGAUUUUUUGUAUGCAAUUUAAUUAUCUCACUUUAUCUUCUCAGUUGUCUCAUGAUGUUGCAGAACAACAUUAAUAAGAUGCUGUGAAUGGAGAAAUUGAAACAGACUUCACAUGCCUCUUCUAAAGUUACACAACAAGUAUUACGUUACGUCAGUUAUAGAAUGUGAUCAAAAGAAUUGGAGCAUCCCUGUGUUUCUUUUCCUCAUAUCUCUUCUUCUUUCUUACCUGCUGGAUGCCCUCCCAAGUGCUGCUUGAUUUUUCUGCAGUCAUUUAUUAAGGGCGACAGGAAUCACAGAUGGUUAUAUUCUAACCCAUUUCCUUGGGGUUGUGUAUAAUCUUGGGUCUUAAUCUUAAUUCCAUGGCCUAUUGUGAGUGGGAGGUAGAGGGAAGAUUAGAAGGCAGUGGAUAAAACGAGAUGUCCAAUGGAGAUGAGCUCCUUUGUAGGCAAGGUGAAAUGUGAAAGCUAACCAGGAGAUACAAAUGAAAAUCAAUCAGAAGGCAGCCUUUUAACACAGAUCCUUAAGACAGUAAUCUGCUUUUGGGCCGUGCCUUACACGAGGAUUUCGGAAGCUAUUCUCUCAAGUGUGAGAUCAGUGGUUAUGACAUUAUGGAAAAUUCCUGCUGCAUUUCUUUUCUUUAGUCUGAUACGUCUUCUGAUAACAAGGUGGUCUGAAGUGAGAAAGCUGAUUUCACUUCUGUAAAUAUCUAAGAACUUUCUGGUAGCGUUGUUCUCUUUCUAAACUAUUUUAGCUUUUAAAGAUUUAUGUAUUUAAGCCGGGCGUGGUGGCACACACCUUGAAUCCCAGCACUUGGGAGGCAGAGGCAGGCGGAUUUCUGAGUUCGAGGCCAGCCUGGUCUACAGAGUGAGUUCCAGGACAGCCAGGGCUACACAGAGAAACCCUGUCUCAAAAAAACAAAAAAACAAAAAAAAAACAAAAAAAAAAAAACCAAAAAAAAAAAAAAAAAGAAAGAAAGAAAGAAAGAAAGAAGGAAAAAAAAUUUAUGUAUUUAUUUUAAGGGUAGAGAUAUUUUCCCAGCAUGUAUCUAUGUGUACCACAUGCAUGCCUGAUGCCUGCUGAGGUCAGAAGGGGCUGGUGGAUCCUCUGGAACCAGAGUUAAGAUGGUGGUAAGCAUGUGGGUGCUGGGAAUCAAACCCAAGAGCAAUGACUGCUCUAAACGGCUGAGCCGCCUUUGAGCCUUUGGAGAAUGUCCUUACAUUCAAGUAAGAUGGUUUUCUUAAUAACUGCUCAUGGAUUUUUUUUUACAUGUCUUCAUAAGAACAUUCUAAUUGUGGCACACACCUUUAAUCCCAGCACUCGUGAAACAGAGGCAGGUGGAUGUCUGAGUUCAAGGACAGCCUGGUCUACAGAGUGAGUUCCAGGACAGCCAGGGCUACACAGAGAAACUCUCUCUCUCAAAAAAAAAAAAAAAAGCAAAACAACAACAACAACAAAAACAACUAAAAAAUGUUAUAAUUGAUAUAAAAACGUUUGUAAAUAUUAAGCAGAACAAAGAAUGAAACGGUGCCACUGGCAAGAACACACACAGUGCUACGUAGGGAGCACCAUACCAAGUGAAAGAGACUUCUCUCAGAAAGACUUUGCUUACUCUAAAGGGAAAGAGGACGAUGCAAGGAAGGAGAGAGGCCUCCAGACACCCAAGUCUCAAAGCAGAUGUUACAUAGAUACCUGUUGUUGCCUCAUACUGCACGUGAUGUUCAGGAGAUGUUCAAAGUCUGUAGUGACUGGACACAUUAACCUUUAGCCAACUUGCAAAUGUUUUAAAACAGUUUAAAGGAUGCUGCCAAGCAACAGACUGGCUUGACAGACUGAAAAAAAAAAUUUAGAAAGAAAAAUAACUUCUGUCUUUAAACACGUUCUUUUUCUUGUUCCUAUUCUUAGGUAUAAUCUGUUGCUGUUCCUAUGAGGGAAAAGUAGAUCAGCACAGUAGAGAAGUGAGAAGAGCACGGAGAACACCGAGGUCCCACUAGUUCCAGGUGGAGGACUCUAACCGUCCUGAGCAGGUAGUCCUGAGUCAUGUGAGACAGCUGCCUGAGCGAGCCACAGAGAGCCAGCCAGUAAGCAGUGUUCUUCUGUGACUUCUGCUUCAGUUCCUGCCUGUAGGUUCCUGUCUGGAGUUCCUGCCCUUGCCUCAAAUGAUGGACUUAAAGCUGUAAGCUGAAGUGAGUACUUUAUCACAGCAAUGGAAAGCAACCCAGAGCAGUAUCUCAGUUACAGUACUGGGGUCACAGAUGAGUUGACGGUUUAACGUCCCCUCUGUUUUAUGAGAUGUUAUGGGGAGCACUGGGAAUAGCUCAUCUUUACAGCUCUGGUAGAACUCAGCACCAACUCUCUACAGUCCUGGACACUUUCUACUUGGGAGAUUCAGUCUUGUUGCCUGUUGUAGAUCUGUUUAAGUUGUUUAUAACCACAGGUUUCAUAUUGGUGGGUGAUACAUGUGCAGAAAUGUUGCCAUUUCAUCUACAUUUUCUAAUUUAUGGGACUAUGGUUCUCAAAGCAUUCCUUGAUUAUCCCCUAUAUAUCAAUAAUAUUUAUUGUUCUGCCUGUCCUUUUCAUCAUGAAUUUUGUUAGUUGCGAUUCUCUCUGUUUGCUAGUUUGUUCAGGAUUUGUUAAUCACGUUUAUCUUUUCAAAGAACCAUUGUUUGUUUCACUGAAUUCAUUUUAUUGCUCUUUCAGUCUCCAUGUCAUUGAUUUCUACCUUGAUUUUUUUUUUUUUCUUAUUUCUUUGCAUAGCUUGGGUUUUUCUUUAGUAGUUUGGGAUUUGACUUUUUGUUGUGUUUCUAAGACCAGGAAGUUUGUUAGUUGGUUAGAAAUGUCUGAUCUUGAAGAAAAUAUGUAAUAAAAAAAAGAAAAAAAAAAGAAAUGUCUGAUCUGUUGAUGUUGGGCCUCGAGCCUCUGCACACCCCUGUUAGGUCUCAUCCCAAAAGUUGGGGUAAGUGGUUUUCAUUUUUAUUCCAUUCUAGAGAGUCUAUCAUUUCUUUCAUUAUCUUUUCAGUGACUCGGCAACCAUUUCAGAAUAUAUCCAUGUGUUUGUAGACUUUCUCUUGCUGUUCUAGUUUUCUUCCAUUCCUGAUGAUAUAUAGGAAAUCAUUUCAAUUCUGAUUUAUGUUUUCAGACUUGCACAGACAGUACUCUAGUUUUUUUUAAAAAAGUUUUUUUUUAUCUUAUGUAUAUGAGUACACUGUAGUUGUCUCCAGACACACCAGAAAAGGGCAUCAGAUCCCAUUACAAAUGGUUGUGAGCCACCAUGUGGUUGCUGGGAAUUGAACUCAGGACCUCUGAAAGAGCAGUCAGUACUCUUAACAUCUCUCCAGCCCCUCUCCCCCCAGUACUCUAGUUAGUAUCCAUCUGAUGCCCUUUUACAGUACAGUAAACAAAUGAUUUUUUUCCUAUUCUUCUCUAAAGAAUGAAUUUGUUCCCUGUCUCUCAUUCCUUCCCUGCUACUGUGGUAGCCACCCAGUUCUCUAUAAGCAGUACUGUUAAUGAGAGACUGAAAAAUGAGAAAGGGUCCUCGUGAGGGAAUUGUCCAGAGCUUAGUUCAAAACUCCCAAUUUAGCUAGGCAAGGAGGUGCACACCUCAGCACUUAGGAGGCUCAGUAAAAGGAUUAGGAGUUCAAAGUCAGCCUUAGGUAUGUGAGAUCCUAUCUCAAAUAGCAAGCACAGACUUUCCCUAUGGCCCAGACUGCAGUCUCUUCUGUAGAUAGUUCUGUGGUCUGCUGAGUGGAAUGUUUGUCCCAAAGCCUUUGGGUGCAGCAUUCUAUUGACGUCUGUUAAACCCAUUUGCUUUAUCAAGCACUUUAUGUUUCAAGUUUUUUUCUCAACGUUUGUCUGGGAAAUUGAUCUUUUGAUGAAUCAGUUACUAAAGCCACUCACUAUUAUUUUAUCUAGACAUAUCUGUCUCUUUGUGUCCAGGAGUUAAGUAUACCAAUAUUUGAUUCAUAUACAUUUAUCAUUGUUAUAUGCUAUUGAUGGAUUCUUUCCUUUAUUGAAUGUACUGGCCUUUAUCCUUCAACUUCAUUUUGCUUGAAGUCAACUUUGUCAAGUAUGAUAAUGGCUACUCUUGUCUACUUCCUGUACCUGUUUACUUGAUAUAUAGGUUUUCAUUCUUUGAAUUUUCUGUCUCAGACAAAAUCAUCUGGUUUUUUCAUAUGUGGAUCCUAAUUCUUAGUGUUUGUAUUAUGUAAAUAAGCACAAAAGUUCUGCUAAAUCUAUCCUUCUUGUUUGGUAACUUUUCAUUCACUAAUUUUAUUUCUUUAUAUUGUGACUGUGUCUUAAGAUUAUUUUCUUCAUUGAUCUUGCAGAUUUCCAACUUUGGUGUUUUUACUUCAAGUUUUCUACUCCAUUUUGAAAUUUAAAAUUAAGCUUUAAGUUUCUGGUCCUCUUCUCCUUUGCUCUGCCAUUCUAUGCCCUAUACCUGAUUCAGCUUCUGACCAUGUCUUCUCAUAUGACUUUCAGAAUCAAGCGAUUCCUGACCAAGAAACAAAAGUAAAAUUGUCCUAUCCUACAGUGGAUUAAAAAAAAAAAAAACUGGUAACAAAUUCAGGUCCAGCUCCAAGAGAAGGCAGUGGGGAGAAGGAAACUGAGUCUGAAAGGGUUCACACAAUGGCAAGACUGAGGCUUUAAACUGCAUCAUGGUCAUCAGUCAGUCCUCCCAGAUGGAAUUCAACAUUCUUAACCUGGAGACUUGCUCAUAUCUAAAUUGGGGGUGUGGUUUGUCCAGUAAUUAAAUGUAGAACCUUAAGUUUCUAAAUUUUUUUUAUGCUGUCCAACUCUAUACUUGAAUACUCUCAUUGCUUUUCAAUUAAUGUGUCCUGUAUUUUUUCUUUACCAUCAAAGUCACCAUCCGAGAGCUCCGUUUCAAGUUGUUAUGUCCUUCUAAAUGGACACAAGUUCUAUUGUUAGAGCUAUCUGUGAGAAAUAGCAUUGAGGUAUCAUCCUUUCUGAUACUGAGAACUCCUAAACAAGGCAUGCCAAGAUAGCGGUGUGCUCUGCUCUAGUACUUCUCAUCCCGUCAGGUGAGACAGUGUUAGUGAGGUUCAUCUGCCAUCCCUAGACUGCAAGCAGCAAGCAGGGUGAGUGUUCUCCCUGUGUGAAUGUCCAGGAUCAGUUCAGUUCAGCCAACCACUCCUGUUCCUGGCAAUCACAUGAUGCCACUCCAGGCUCCACCAAGACUCAGAUAUUCUCAGAACCGACGUCUCAUGCCUACAGUAGGACAUGUCAAGAGUUCAGAACAGUACGUGGCAUAGAAGUGGUCAGUAAGGCCAUCACCAUCAUUAAGCUCAAUGCACUAUUCCAGUUUUCUUAAUAGUCAUCUUCCUCUAAGAGCCAGAGAGAAUACAGAACAAUCAGAAUAUGAUAGUCAAACUGGCCCUUUCAGAGUAUUUUGUAUUAAUCACUGUUUUAAAAAGUUAGUCUGUCUCUUCAGCUGUAGCUCGUCCUCCAAUGCCACAUCCAUUAAACAGGACUUUUAAAAAUGGCACAUUUGUGUUCUGUGUCCCAUGAAAAGGAAUCGGGGCAACUGCAGGCCUCAGAAAACAGAAACAUAGAGCCUAUCCUAGUGCGUCCUGUUCUUCUGGUACCUCGUGACACAAUCGGUCAGCUUUUAGUACAGUGCGGUCAACAAACCCAUAUGCACACAGCACUGUCCUCCCUCAAGCACACGCCUCGGGCACAAUCCCCAUCAUGGAGGACGGACAGGUCCAUGCACAGGGCACUGUCCUGCCUCAAGCACAUACCUUGGACACAGGGUGGAUGGACAGGUCCAUGCACAGGGUACUGUCCUGUCUCAAGCACACGCCUUGGACACAGGGUGGAUGGACAGGUCCAUGCACAGGGCACUGUCCUGCCUCAAGCACAUGCCUUGGACACAGGGUGGAGGACAGGUCCGUGUACAGGGGGGUACUGUCCUGCCUCAAGCACAUGCCUUGGACACAGGGUGGACGGACAGGUCCGUGCACAGACACUGUCCACCUUCAAACACACGCCUUGGCGGCAUUCUCUCUUGUGUUUAAGACUUUUUCUGAAAUCUGGAAGUUAGCGUUAGGGUAUGUUUAAAGAUGUUUACACCUUUGAAGAUAACAGACAACCAACGAGGAAACAGACUCACAGAGUGAGCAGCCCAGGCCUCCUGUCCAUGGGCAAUUCUACACAGCCCUAGAAGAGGCACUGUUGAGAGUCCGGCUCAUUCACAGUGGCAACCAACUCAGCUAACCUCCACACACCCCUUUCCCCAUUUCCUCCUUCCAGUUUCUCAAUUGUGAUCUUUUUUGAUUACCUUAAAAUAAAAUUUCUGCCCACAA